GAGUUUGAUCCUGGCUCAGGAUGAACGCUGGCGGCGUGCCUAAUACAUGCAAGUCGAGCGAACAGAUAAGGAGCUUGCUCCUUUGACGUUAGCGGCGGACGGGUGAGUAACACGUGGGUAACCUACCUAUAAGACUGGAAUAACUCCGGGAAACCGGGGCUAAUGCCGGAUAAUAUUUAGAACCGCAUGGUUCUAAAGUGAAAGAUGGUUUUGCUAUCACUUAUAGAUGGACCCGCGCCGUAUUAGCUAGUUGGUGGGGUAAUGGCUUACCAAGGCAACGAUACGUAGCCGACCUGAGAGGGUGAUCGGCCACACUGGAACUGAGACACGGUCCAGACUCCUACGGGAGGCAGCAGUAGGGAAUCUUCCGCAAUGGGCGAAAGCCUGACGGAGCAACGCCGCGUGAGUGAUGAAGGUCUUCGGAUCGUAAAACUCUGUUAUUAGGGAAGAACAAAUGUGUAAGUAACUGUGCACGUCUUGACGGUAC
rnacentral:rRNA from 1 species